UUCAGGGCCCCCUGACCCCUUGGGCCCCUGGGCCUGGGCCCGGUAGGCCCGUGCAGUAAUCCAUCCCUGGUAGCAUGGGCCCCGGAGAUGUGAGUUCAGUUUACUGUGUCAGCCCGCCAUUCUCCUUGAGAUCAGACCAUCUCGGUUGGUUUAAUUGAUAUUAAUUAAUUUGCUAUUAAUUUAGCUGUAAAUGUCAGAUAACUGUAACAGCAAAUGAAAGACCUUGGUCUUGUAAUUUUUUUUCUUUCUUUCACAUCACAUUCAAAGGAUCAUAAAGCAUUACAGAUGAAGGGUAUCAUUAGACAUUUCACAGGACCAUUUCAGUCCUUCUCAUUCAACUCAGUUCUUUGUUUUGUAUCUGCAACUUAACAAUUCUUGUUUGCUGGACAGCAUAGUGUCUGUUAGCUGCACAUCUCAAAACUGGCAAGUAAAAAAGCAUUACAAGUAAAUCCAAUCAAAUCAUACCCUAAUGCCAAUUGUCUUUUAUUUUAUGGUACAGUUACAUGUAAAGGGUGAAAAAGUAACUUAUUCUUCAUACCGUAACUUUGACUCUGUUCUCUCUCCUUUCGUUCCUAGUUCCUGGCGUUGAGAAUGCUGUACCUACUAUAAGUGUCGACAGCCUACCUGUUCUACAGUAGAUCAUUUGGAUGCACAAAGCAUUACGACCCUUUGUGGAGAUGAUGGAUACACAUAUGUCAAGUGUGUGCUUUGCAGGCAUAACAAGCUGACGAGGAAAGGAGUGUGUGUUAAGCACAGCGGGUCUUGCCAGGCUGCCUCGCCAUCUGUCUUCUGGUUGGACAACAAUGACAAAGGCCUACAGUACUACAGACCUUUACCAGCAAAUGACCCAGUAUUCCUCAUGGGGCUCAAGUCCUCUCAUGUCUUCUAAAGUACUCUGCUUUUUGAUAGAUCUCUAUAACUUCAUUGUGCAAGUCUAGAGACAUGCAUGGUAAAGUGAAAUAAAGUUAUGCAGCAUUC